GACGAACGCUGGCGGCGUGCCUAAUACAUGCAAGUAGAACGCACAGUUUAUACCGUAGCUUGCUACACCAUAGACUGUGAGUUGCGAACGGGUGAGUAACGCGUAGGUAACCUGCCUGGUAGCGGGGGAUAACUAUUGGAAACGAUAGCUAAUACCGCAUAAUAUUGAUUAUUGCAUGAAAAUUAAUUGAAAGGUGCAAUUGCACCACUACCAGAUGGACCUGCGUUGUAUUAGCUAGUAGGUGAGGUAACGGCUCACCUAGGCGACGAUACAUAGCCGACCUGAGAGGGUGAUCGGCCACACUGGGACUGAGACACGGCCCAGACUCCUACGGGAGGCAGCAGUAGGGAAUCUUCGGCAAUAGACGAAAGUCUGACCGAGCAACGCCGCGUGAGUGAAGAAGGUUUUCGGAUCGUAAAGCUCUGUUGUAAGAGAAGAACGGGUGUGAGAGUGGAAAGUUCACACUGUGACGGUAUCUUACCAGAAAGGGACGGCUAACUACGUG
rnacentral:rRNA from 1 species